rnacentral:rRNA from 1 species
CCCCGUGGGGAGGGAGGAGCGAUGAUGCUAACUUGACUUAGUUAAAGCUAAGAGGGCCGGUAAAACUCGUGCCAGCCACCGCGGUUAUACGAGAGGCCCAAGUUGACAGACACCGGCGUAAAGCGUGGUUAAGGUAAACUAAAACUAAAGCCGAAUACCUUCAGGGCAGUUAUACGCAUCCGAAGGCAGCAAGCCCCACCACGAAAGUGGCUUUAUGACCCCUGACCCCACGAAAGCUAUGACACAAACUGGGAUUAGAUACCCCACUAUGCCGAGGCGUAGACAUUGAUAGAAUUCUACACCCUCUAUCCGCCUGGGUACUACAACCAUCAACUUGAAACCCAAAGGACUUGGCGGUACUUUAGAUCCCCCUACAGGAGCCUGUUCUAUAACCGAUGACCCCCGUUCAACCUCACCCUCCCUUGUUUUUCCCGCCAAUUUACCGCCCUCUUCAGCUUACCCUGUGAAGGUCUAAUAGUAAGCAAAAUUGGGACCGCCCAUAACGUCAUGUCUAGGGUGAAAUUGUCACAAGAC